rnacentral:rRNA from 1 species
AGAACGAACGCUGGCGGCAGGCUUAACACAUGCAAGUCGAGCGCCCCGCAAGGGGAGCGGCAGACGGGUGAGUAACGCGUGGGAACAUACCCUCCGGUUCGGAAUAGCUCAGGGAAACUUGGAUUAAUACCGGAUACGGCCUAGCGGCGAAAGAUUCAUCGCCGGAGGAUUGGCCCGCGUUCGAUUAGCUAGUUGGUGAGGUAACGGCUCACCAAGGCGACGAUCGAUAGCUGGUCUGAGAGGAUGAUCAGCCACAUUGGGACUGAGACACGGCCCAAACUCCUACGGGAGGCAGCAGUGGGGAAUAUUGGACAAUGGGCGCAAGCCUGAUCCAGCCAUGCCGCGUGAGUGAUGACGGCCUUAGGGUUGUAAAGCUCUUUCGCUAGGGACGAUAAUGACGGUACCUAGACAAGAACGCCCGGCUAACUUCGUGCCAGCAGCCGC